rnacentral:rRNA from 1 species
UACGGAGAGGGCGAGCGUUGUUCGGAAUCAUUGGGCGUAAAGCGUGCGUAGGUGGUCUUGUAAGUCGUAGGUGAAAUUCUGAGGCUUAACCUCAGAGCGGCCUGCGAUACUGCUCGACUGGAGUGUAAAGUGGGAUAGCGGAAUUCCUAGUGUAGAGGUGAAAUUCGCAGAUAUUAGGAGGAACGCCGGUGGCGAAAGCGGCUAUCUAGGUUACUACUGACACUGAGGCACGAAAGCGUGGGGAGCAAACAGG